rnacentral:snoRNA from 1 species
ACAAUGUCCACGGCAUUCCUAUUAGAGUCUCGGAACAAGACCAUCAUUUCUUGUUCAGGCCCAUGAGGUCUCUCGCGUGCUCAAGGAUCGCCCAGAGGAAUACCGCACUUUCCGUUUAAGUUACCUAACACCUUCACGGGCGUUUAGGUGGACAUAUCUGGACAAGUGAUACAUUU